CACGUAGGGGGCAAGCGUUGUUCGGAAUUAUUGGGCGUAAAGGGCAUGUAGGCGGUUUUGUAAGUCUGGCGUGAAAUGGUAAGGCUUAACCUUAUCCUGCGUCGGAAACUGCGAGACUAGAAUCACUGAGGGGAAAUCAGAAUUCCAGGUGUAGGGGUGAAAUCUGUAGAUAUCUGGAAGAAUACCAGUGGCGAAGGCGGAUUUCUGGCAGAUGAUUGACGCUGAGGUGCGAAAGCGUGGGGAGCAAACAGG
rnacentral:rRNA from 1 species